rnacentral:rRNA from 1 species
GGUCAAGUUAUUAAGGGUGCAGGGCGGAUGCCUUGGCACUAGGAGCCGAUGAAGGACGUGAUAAGCUGCGAUAAGCUUCGGGGAGUUGCACGUAAACUUUGAUCCGAAGAUUUCCGAAUGAGGAAACUCACUUAGAGUAAUGUCUAAGUAUCAUUAAGUGAAUACAUAGCUUAAUGAGGGGAACUCAGGGAACUGAAACAUCUAAGUACCUGAAGGAAGAGAAAGAAAUUCGAUUCCGUAAGUAGCGGCGAGCGAACGCGGAUUAGCCCAAACCAAUAAAGUUUUCUUUAUUGGGGUUGCGGACAUAUCAUAACGAAGAGGUAUCGUAAUUGAAGAGGUUUGGAAAGACCCACCACAGAAGGUAAUAGUCCUGUAUGUUAAACGAGAAGACUUUAGAUAUGAUCCAGAGUACCACG